rnacentral:rRNA from 1 species
AACGAACGCUGGCGGCAGGCUUAACACAUGCAAGUCGAGCGCCCCGCAAGGGGGAGCGGCAGACGGGUGAGUAACGCGUGGGAAUCUACCCAUCCCUACGGAACAACUCCGGGAAACUGGAGCUAAUACCGUAUACGCCCUUCGGGGGAAAGAUUUAUCGGGGAUGGAUGAGCCCGCGUUGGAUUAGCUAGUUGGUGGGG